rnacentral:tRNA from 1 species
AGGAUUUUAGUUAAAUAUAUAUAACAUUUAUAUUGCAUAUAAAAAUUAAAUUUUCAUUUAAAUCUUA